ensembl:lncRNA
GAGGCCAAGCACAGCAGGAGCCCAACCCAGCAAAAGCUCCCUCGGUAGAAGCGGACCACAAAGAAAACCCAGCACAAAGGAAAUGACAAGAGGCCCAUCAUGCUGAAAACCAGGACAGUGAAAAACGAACUCAGCAGAAAGCUCACGCAGCUGUCUCAGAUUCCAGAAGACCUCCGGUUAAGAUGUUGGAAUGGAUCAAUCUAUCUGCAUUUCGUGGGGAUACCACGAGGAAAGGGUGACAGAGAUGUUGGGGAGACAACCACAGUGUCCUCUAUAGCCAGAUGUAUAGCAGAGUGAUUCAAUUAUACAAAUACAUGUAUCUAUUCUGGAAUCAAGAUUGCCAGAAGGAAUAUCAAUAAUCUCAGAUUUGCAGGGGACACCACCC